CCUUGUACACACCGCCCGUCACACCAUGGGAGUGGGUCGCAAAAGAAGUAGGUAGCUUAACCUCCGGGAGGGCGCUUACCACUUUGUGAUUCAUGACUGGGGUG
rnacentral:rRNA from 1 species